CUCGGAGUUUGAUCCUGGCUCAGAUUGAACGCUGGCGGAAUGUUUUACACAUGCAAGUCGAACGGUAGAGGGGGCAACCCCUUGAGAGUGGCGAACGGGUGAGUAAUAUAUCGGAACGUGCCCAGUCGUGGGGGAUAACGUAGCGAAAGUUACGCUAAUACCGCAUACGAUCUAAGGAUGAAAGCGGGGAUCGCAAGACCUCGCGCGACUGGAGCGGCCGAUAUCAGAUUAGGUAGUUGGUAGGGUAAAGGCCUACCAAGCCAACGAUCUGUAGCUGGUCUGAGAGGACGACCAGCCACACUGGAACUGAGACACGGUCCAGACUCCUACGGGAGCAGCAGUGGGGAAUUUGGACAAUGGGCGAAAGCCUGAUCCAGCCAUUCCGCGUGCAGGAUGAAGGCCCUC
rnacentral:rRNA from 1 species